UACGGGGGGUGCGAGCGUUGUCCGGAAUCACUGGGCGUAAAGGGCGCGUAGGUGGUCUGAUAAGGGUGUGGUGAAAGCCCGGGGCUCAACCCCGGGUCGGCCGUGCCGACUGUUAGACUAGAGUGCUGUAGGGGCAGGCGGAAUUCCGGGUGUAGCGGUGGAAUGCGUAGAGAUCGGGAAGAACACCAGUGGCGAAGGCGGCUCACUGGCCCGGUACUGACGCUGAGGUGCGAAAGCGUGGGGAGCAAACAGG
rnacentral:rRNA from 1 species